rnacentral:rRNA from 1 species
AUCGUCUCGUUGGUGACCAGCGGAGGGUCAUUACCGAGUUUACAACUCCCAAACCCAAUGUGAACGUUACCAAACUGUUGCCUCGGCGGGGUCACGCCCCGGGUGCGUAAAAGCCCCGGAACCAGGCGCCCGCCGGAGGAACCAACCAAACUCUUUCUGUAGUCCCCUCGCGGACGUAUUUCUUACAGCUCUGAGCAAAAAUUCAAAAUGAAUCAAAACUUUCAACAACGGAUCUCUUGGUUCUGGCAUCGAUGAAGAACGCAGCGAAAUGCGAUAAGUAAUGUGAAUUGCAGAAUUCAGUGAAUCAUCGAAUCUUUGAACGCACAUUGCGCCCGCCAGUAUUCUGGCGGGCAUGCCUGUCCGAGCGUCAUUUCAACCCUCGAACCCCUCCGGGGGAUCGGCGUUGGGGAUCGGGACCCCUCACCGGGUGCCGGCCCUGAAAUACAGUGGCGGUCUCGCCGCAGCCUCUCCUGCGCAGUAGUUUGCACAACUCGCACCGGGAGCGCGGCGCGUCCACGUCCGUAAAACACCCAACUUCUGAAAUGUUGACCUCGGAUCAGGUAGGAAUACCCGCUGAACUUAAGCAUUAAA